rnacentral:snoRNA from 1 species
CCCCAAGAUGAUGAAGAUCUGAUGUCAUAUAUUCUUGCUGGUCUUGAUGACGAUUUUGAGCCUGUUGUUUCUUCUCUUGUUGGGAGGACGGACCCUGUUCCGCUCUCCGAAGUAUACUCGCAACUUUUGAGUUUUGA